rnacentral:rRNA from 1 species
UACGAAGGGGGGCUAGCGUUGUUCGGAAUUACUGGGCGUAAAGCGCACGUAGGCGGAUUGUUAAGUUAGGGGUGAAAUCCCAGGGCUCAACCCUGGAACUGCCUUUAAUACUGGCAAUCUCGAGUCCGAGAGAGGUGAGUGGAAUUCCGAGUGUAGAGGUGAAAUUCGUAGAUAUUCGGAGGAACACCAGUGGCGAAGGCGGCUCACUGGCUCGGUACUGACGCUGAGGUGCGAAAGCGUGGGGAGCAAACAGG